rnacentral:rRNA from 1 species
AAUUUUCAGCGGUGGAUGUCUCGGCUCGCACAACGAUGAAGGACGCAGCGAAUUGCGAUAAUCAUUGUGAAUUGCAGAAUUUAGCAAAUCAACAGAUUUCUGAAUGUAUUGUACACACUGCCUCUGUUUUUCAUGCAGUGCACCCAUUUCAGCGCC